AACGAACGCUGGCGGCAGGCUUAACACAUGCAAGUCGAACGCCCCGCAAGGGGAGUGGCAGACGGGUGAGUAACGCGUGGGAAUCUACCUAGUUCUACGGAACAACACAGGGAAACUUGUGCUAAUACCGUAUACGCCCUACGGGGGAAAGAUUUAUCGGAAUUAGAUGAGCCCGCGUAAGAUUAGCUAGUUGGUGGGGUAAUGGCCUACCAAGGCGACGAUCUUUAGCUGGUCUGAGAGGAUGAUCAGCCACACUGGGACUGAGACACGGCCCAGACUCCUACGGGAGGCAGCAGUGGGGAAUAUUGGACAAUGGGCGAAAGCCUGAUCCAGCCAUGCCGCGUGAGUGAUGAAGGCCUUAGGGUUGUAAAGCUCUUUCAGUGGGGAAGAUAAUGACGGUACCUACAGAAGAAGCCCCGGCUAACUUCGUGCCAGCAGCCGCAGUAAUAC
rnacentral:rRNA from 1 species